GGAUGUGAGGGCGAUCUGGCUGCGACAUCUGUCACCCCAUUGAUCGCCAGGGUUGAUUCGGCUGAUCUGGCUGGCUAGGCGGGUGUCCCCUUCCUCCCUCACCACUCCAUGUGCGUCCCUCCCGAAGCUGCGCCCUCGGUCGAAGAGGACGACCAUCCCCGAUAGAGGAGGACCGUUCUUCGGUCAAGGGUAUAUGAGUAGCUGCGCUCCCCUGCUAGAACCUCCAAACAAGCUCUCAAGGUCAAAUUAAGCAACAGAAAUAGCUGACAUUGAUGGAGUAUUUCCCAAGAACCAGGAAUCAGCUGGGUGCCGAUGGCUU
rnacentral:snRNA from 1 species